UACGGAGGGGGCUAGCGUUGUUCGGAAUUACUGGGCGUAAAGCACGCGUAGGCGGCUUUGUAAGUUAGAGGUGAAAGCCCGGAGCUCAACUCCGGAAUUGCCUUUAAGACUGCAUCGCUUGAAUCAUGGAGAGGUGAGUGGAAUUCCGAGUGUAGAGGUGAAAUUCGUAGAUAUUCGGAAGAACACCAGUGGCGAAGGCGACUCACUGGACAUGUAUUGACGCUGAGGUACGAAAGCGUGGGGAGCAAACAGG
rnacentral:rRNA from 1 species